GAACCUGCGGAAGGAUCAU
rnacentral:rRNA from 6 species